UCACCCCUCAAGCCCCGUGCUUGGUGUUGGACGGCCGGUCGAGCGAUCGACCCCUCCGAAAGACAAUGACGGCGGCCUGUGGUUCCCCCGGUACACUGAGCUUCUCACCGAGCACGUAUCGGACAAGGGCACCCGGGACCCGGUCUUCUCCUUCUUAGCAAGGAAAUUUCUCAA
rnacentral:misc_RNA from 1 species